UUUAAGCUUCAAACUGGGAUUAGAUACCCCACUAUUCCUAAACGUAAAUUGAUACCGAUCUACCAGAGUACUAUGAGCUUUUAGCUUAAAACUCAAAGAACUUGGCGGUGCCUCAUACACUUCAGGGGAACCUGUUUCAUAAUCGAUAGUCCACGCUAGACCUUACCUUCCUUAGAGAUAUUCAGUCUGUAUACCGUCGUCGUCAGGUAACUUUCCAAAAAAAAGAAGUUAGCAGCAAAGUUCAUUAGCUUUUACGUCAGAUCAAGGUGCAGCCCAUAAGAAGGAGAGAAUGGGUUACAAUUAUAACUCAUAAAUACGAAUAAGAAAGUGAAAUCUUUCUAUGAAGGAGGACUUGAAAGUAAUUUAAAAAAGAUAAUUUUUUUGAAUAUAUUGGCUCUGAGGCGUGCACACACCGCCCGUCACCCUCUGCAGUCAAA
rnacentral:rRNA from 1 species